UACGUAGGGUGCAAGCGUUGUCCGGAAUUAUUGGGCGUAAAGAGCUCGUAGGCGGUUUGUCGCGUCGAAUGUGAAAACCCGGGGCUCAACUCCGGGCCUGCAGUCGAUACGGGCAGACUAGAGUUCGGUAGGGGAGACUGGAAUUCCUGGUGUAGCGGUGAAAUGCGCAGAUAUCAGGAGGAACACCGGUGGCGAAGGCGGGUCUCUGGGCCGAAACUGACGCUGAGGAGCGAAAGCGUGGGGAGCGAACAGG
rnacentral:rRNA from 1 species